rnacentral:rRNA from 1 species
AGACAUGCGAGUCGAGAGAUUCGGAUCUCGGCGUACGGCUCAGUAACACGUGGAUAACCUACCCUUGGACGAGGGAUAACCUCGGGAAACUGAGAAUAAUACCUCCUAGGCCUUGGAUACUGGAAUGUUCCGAGGGUGGAAGCCCCUUACCGUCCAAGGAUGGGUCUGCGGCCUAUCAGGUAGUAGUGGGUGUAACGGACCCACUAGCCGAUGACGGGUACGGGCCUUGGGAGAGGGAGCCCGGAGAUGGGUUCUGAGACACGAACCCAGACCCUACGGGGUGCAGCAGUUGCGAAACCUUCACACUGUGGGAAACCACGAUGAGGGGAUUCCAAGUGCUAACACAAUGUGUUGGCUUUUCAUCUGUUUAAAACGCAGGUGGAAUAAGGGCUGGGUAAGACUGGUGCCAGCCGCCGCGGUAACACCAGCAGCUCGAGUGGUGGCCAUUAUUAUUGAGCUUAAAGCGUUCGUAGCCGGUUUGGUAAAUCUUUGGGUAAAUCGGACGGCUCAACCGUUCGACUACCAGAGAGACUGCCAGACUAGGAGCCGGGAGAGGCUAGAGGUACUGUUGGGGUAGAAGUAAAAUUCUGUAAUCCCACCAGGACCACCAGUGGCGAAGGCGUCUAGCUAGAACGGACUUGACGGUGAAGGGACGAAGCCCUGGGGAGCGAACCGGAUUAGAUACCCGGGUAGUCCAGGGUGUAAACGAUGCGGGCUUGGUGUCGGAAGUCCUACGCGGGCAUCCGGUGCCGGAGAGAAAUUGUUAAGCCCGCCGCUUGGGGAGUACGGCCGCAAAGGCUGAAGCUUAAAGGAAAUUGGCGGGGGAGCACAAGGGCGAAAUUCGUUU